GGCUGGUCUGAUGGUAGUGGGUUAUCAGAACUUACUAACAUUAGUGUCACUAAAGUUGGUAUACAACCCCCCACUGCUAAAUUUGACUGGCUUUUA
rnacentral:Y_RNA from 1 species